CUCUUGGCAAGAGAAAGGCUCUUGGAAACCAGUGUCAGAGCUCCAGAGCAGCAUGAGAAGCCAGGCAGGGCUGACCAGAGCAGGUGAAUUUCCCCAGCUGACAACAAGCGCCCCAGGCAGCUGGGGGCCAGCUCCCAGUAGCUUAGCAACCUGCAGGGCGCAGCUCCUCCCGCCUCCACCCACACUCCACACUCCCAACUCUCCCCAACUACUUUUUUUUUUUCCUCAACUCCUGGCUUCUAGAAAAAUCACAGCGUCCCAAGAGAGGACAGUUAUUAAAUCUCCUCCUUCUUCUCUUCCUCCUCCUCCUCCUUCUCCUCCUCCCUUCUGAGCACCUGCCAGGCUGUCUUCCAACGGAGAAGAGCGCAGAGGUGGGAAGCUGGGGGCUCGAACCAGGAUCCUGCGCGAGUCCUUUGCGCUUUGUACUACGUGCGCUUAACCCGGCGGGCGCACUACCGCCCAGGCCCCACCUGUGUUCCUUUUACAAGGCCUGAGCCCGUCCUGAGCUCCGAGACACCCACACAACACAGCAAGUACACCUGUCACCUGCCUUCUAGGAGCCACACUACCGAACCUUCUGGGUACACAGGCUCUUUCCACUGUUUACAUAAUCUUCCCAAAGAUUAAGGAUGAAGUCACAGCCUAACUAAGGCUACUAGGAAGAAGGUGCUUUCCUCCUCCUGCUGCAGAGAACAAAGCACCUUGCUGGCACCUCAGCAAGGUGCUUUGUUUAAUGGCUUUGGAGCAUCAGGAUCAUCGUCUGACCUCUGUGCAUCACUGGCCUGCCUGACCCCAGUGGCAAGGACCACUGAACGGAGCACAGAGGAAGACGGCGAGCAGUGGCAACAGUAACAACUACAAGGGCAACAAAAUGGGAAAAAUACCCUCCAGAAGCAAUGGAUUC